rnacentral:rRNA from 1 species
GAUGAACGCUAGCGGCAGGCCUAAUACAUGCAAGUCGAACGGAUAUAUGUUUUUCGGAAUAUAUAUUAGUGGCGCACGGGUGAGUAACACGUACAUAACUUGCCCUCAAGCGGGGGAUAGCCUUGGGAAACUGAGAGUAAUACCCCAUAGAAUUAUUGGACGGCAUCGUUUGAUAAUUAAAACUACGGUGCUUGGGGAUAGAUGUGCGUCUGAUUAGCUAGUUGGUAAGGUAACUGCUCACCAAGGCGACGAUCAGUAGGGGGCGUGAGAGCGUGGCCCCCCACACGGGUACUGAGACACGGACCCGACUCCUACGGGAGGCAGCAGUAAGGAAUAUUGGUCAAUGGAGGGAACUCUGAACCAGCCAUGCCGCGUGAAGGAUGACGGCCCUCUGGGUUGUAAACUUCUUUUGGAUGGGGCGAAAAAACGGGAUUUAUCCUGGACUGACGGUACCAUCAGAAUAAGCACCGGCUAACUCCGUGCCAGCAGCCGCGGU